rnacentral:rRNA from 1 species
UACGUAGGGUGCGAGCGUUGUCCGGAAUUACUGGGCGUAAAGCGCGUGUAGGCGGUUAUCCAAGUCAGGUGUGAAAGCCUUGAGCUCAACUCAAGAAAUGCACUUGGUACUGGGUGACUAGAGGACCGGAGAGGAUAGUGGAAUUCCCAGUGUAGUGGUGAAAUACGUAGAGAUUGGGAAGAACACCAGUGGCGAAGGCGGCUAUCUGGCCCGGUACUGACGGCUGAGGUGCGAAAGCGUGGGGAGCAAACAGG